GCUCUCAACAUACACGGGCUUGCCAGG
rnacentral:piRNA from 1 species